rnacentral:lncRNA from 1 species
UAUAUUGGUUAAUUUAGCUUGAUUCUGUUUAUGUGGGAGAAAUGAAUAUCUGGCCCUAAAUUCUAUGAAUAUUUCUAUGUAAAACUGAGUUAUGGUAUAUAUUUAAUGAAAAAAUAAAUGUUGGGUCCAUUUUAUUCUCCACAAAAAAAGUUAUGGUAGUUAAAAUUCUUAAAGAGGCAUCAGUUUGUUGUGCUGUUUAUUCUCUAACAGAAACUAAUGACAAUGAAGUCAUCAACCCCACAUAAAAUCCCUCAGGCACAGUCUUUGUCAUUUGUUAUUACUUCCUCUAAUGCUUUGCAAUGAGUGAUGAAAUGGUUUGAAAGAACACAAAAGAGGGCUCUGAAUUAUCUAAAACUGUCUAAUAUAGUUGUGGCUUGGUAUUUAAAAUUAUCUCUUGACUCACUGGAGGCAUUAAAUGGGGUGCAAAUGCAUUUCAUGUGCCUAUAAUUCUCAUCAAGAAAAUGUUAGAAGUAAAUCAGGGAUGGUUUGGUAAGUGUUUGGGAGUCUGAAGGAUUAAGGAGAAGAUAUUUUCUUGCAUUAUUUAUGAAGUGUGAAAUUGGGGAGAAAAUCUUACUCUGCAAGAAGGAAUUUCAUAGAGUAUUUUUAAAUUGCAGUAAGAACGUGGUUUUGGAAUGAAAUGCUGAUGCUCCUCAGGAGAUUCUUUUUUAAUGGAAAGAGUAUGUUUUUACAGAUCUGUUUUGUUUUUGUUCUUAAUUGAUUUAAUUACAUACAGAUUUUAUGUUCUGUUCCACAGAGUAAAUUUCUCAAGGCCUCUGAUAGCUGAGUGGAAUGACUACUAUGUGGCAUGAAGAAAUAGGCAUGUUACAUUUUCCAUCUGUUGAUUUGCAAUUCAAUAGACCCUGCCCUCAAGCAAAAGCAACUGAACCAGCAAACCUCUCAAUUACUGUGCCAGUUGAACCCCAGUUUUUUCCACAGAUUUGCCAAGGCGUCUGCAGCAUGGGUCACAGUUGAUAUAAGACUCUUGUGUCAUGCUUCUUCUCAGCAGGGAGCCAUGAUUUUGUUUAAAGCUGCGAAACCACUCAGGUUGCCCCUCUGCUGAAUCUUAAAAUCAAAGAAGAAUGCAGGUGGUGUGUGUGCAGGUGGGAUGUAGAAAAUAGUGAAAAACACAAGGCUAAAGUUCUGAGGGUGCUUUCUUGUACACAGCCCUCAAUAACAG